rnacentral:rRNA from 1 species
GACGGGCCCGCACAAGCAGCGGAGCGUGUGGUUUAAUUCGUUGCUACACGAAGAACCUUACCUGGGUUUGACAUAAUGGUGGUAGGGAUCCGAAAGGUGACCGACCUUCGGGGAGCCAUUUACAGGUGUUGCAUGGCUGUCGUCAGCUCGUGUCGUGAGAUGUUCGGUUAAGUCCGCUAACGAGCGCAACCCUCGCUGUGUGUUAUAUGUGUCACACAGGACUGCUGGUAUUAAGCCGGAGGAAGGUGGGACGACGUCAAGUCAGCAUGACCUUUAUAUCCAGGGCUACACACACGCUACAAUGGUCAGUACAAUGGGUUGCCAAGCCGCGAGGCGGAGCCAAUCCUAAAAAGCUGGCCUCAGUUCAGAUUGCAGUCUGAAACUCGACUGCAUGAAGUCGGAGUUGCUAGUAAACGCAGGUCAGCUAUACUGCGUUGAAUACGUUCCCGGGGCUU